UCUGGUCUAUCUUAUAGGAGGGACUAGAUAUCACUCUGUCUAUCUUAUAGGAGUGGUUCUAGAUCACUCUGUCUAUCUUCUAGGAGUGGUUCUAGAUCACUGUCUGUUAUAGGAGUGGUUCUAGAUCACUCUGUCUAUGUUAUAGGAGUGGUUCUAGAUCACUCUGUCUAUCUUCUAGGAGUGGUUCUAGAUCACUCUGUCUGUUAUAGGAGUGGUUCUAGAUCACUCUGUCUAUGUUAUAGGAGUGGUUCUAGAUCACUCUGUCUAUGUUAUAGGAGUGGUUCUAGUGCUCUCUGUGUCUGAGGGGAGGCACUAACAUAAUUAUCAUGAAGUUCAUUAAAUCUUUAAGCCAGAGGUGUUAAUAGCGACAGAUUUCCACCAUCAGUGGUAGAUGUGUAGAGACUAAUCUAUGAGAUGAGGUAGUGUUGAUGAACAGGGCAGGAAGUCGUUUCCUACGAUAGUAACAGGUACUAGAGGUGAACCAUCUGACUGUUUUACUGCUCAAUUCAGUUAUACAGCACCAGACGUCUUGAUCGUUAACUCAUAUCUGAGAUGAUCUGAUGUGUUGAGGGUGAAGGUGUUGAGGGUGAAAAUGUCUUUGUGAAGGUGGAGGGGGUGAAGAUGUCUUUGUGAAGGUGGAGGGGGUGAAGUUGUCUUUGUGAAGGUAGAGGGGGUGAAGAUGUCUUUGUGAAGGUGUUGAGGGUGAAGCUGUUGAGGGUGAAGUUGUCUUUGUGAAAGCUGUCUUUGUGAAGCUGUUGAGGGUGAAACUGUUGAGGGUGAAGAUGUCUUUGUGAAGGUGUUGAGGGUGAAGAUGUCUUUGUGAAGCUGUCUUUGUGAAGGUGUUGAGGGUGAAAAUGUAUUUGUGAAGAUGUUGAGGGUGAAACUGUAUUUGUGAAGUUGUUGAGGGUGAAGAUGUCUUUGUGAAGCUGUCUUUGUGAAGGUGUUGAGGGUGAAGCUGUCUUUGUGAAGGUGGAGGGGGUGAAGCUGUCUUUGUGAAGGUGUUGAGGGUGAAGCUGUCUUUGUGAAGGUGGAGGGGGUGAAGAUGUCUUUGUGAAGGUGUUGAGGGUGAAGCUGUCUUUGUGAAGGUGGAGGGGGUGAAGCUGUCUUUGUGAAGGUGUUGAGGGUGAAGAUAUCUUUGUGAAGCUGUUGAGGGUGAAGAUGUUUUUGUGAAGGUGCUCAUUACAGUAAGUCUGCAUUACAAAUAGCAGCCUAUUCCCUUCAUAGUAAGCCUCUGGUCUAAAGUAGUGCCCUAUAUAGGGAAUAGGGUGCCGUUUAAGGAUGCAGGUCCUGUGUUUCAGUCUCCUGGUCUGUUUGUCGGUAAUCAUUCCUCCUGAUCUGCCAUCGCUGCUCCCAAGGCACGCUGCUGUCCUGAAGUGUCCAUGUUGCUAUGGUGACAGGUUGCCAUGCUGACUGCUUUCUGAUUGGUUGGCUUAGAGAGAGGUGUCUGUCUGUGUAGAUGGAAUAUGUUUUUCCAGUUGUGCUCUCUCGUCUGCGUCUUACAGUGUCAAUGUAAUGUCUACCUUUGUUCAGGUUCAAAUCCUUUUGUCAUCCCGUCACUGGGCAGUUUGUUCACAGCACAACAAAUAGUAUUUGUGUAUUUUUUAAAGCAACAAAGUCCUAUAAUUCAACACUCCAUUGGAAUCCACGAUGCCAAUAUCAUUUUUCCUUCUGGGGGGUAAAUAAAGUGUACCAGUCUUUACAUUCUGGAAUUCCUAAAUCCCAAAGUCCCCUUUUUCCUCUGUGGAGUGUUGGUGGUGAUCCAGGAUGAGCUGCGGGGUCGAGCUCUGAGCCUGAGUAGCUCCUACGCUGAGAGGAGCAGGCAGGACCAGCCUUAGGCCCCAGGCAGCUUCUAUUUGAUGCUGGAAUCCCCUAGGUGAGGAUGCUGGGGUUGGCUGGGCGCGAGAUUUACUCUGAUCCUCGGGGGCUCCAGGAUUCUUUUCUCUCUUUUCCUGUGUCCCAAAAGGCAACCUCUAUUCCCUACAUAGUGCACUACUUUCCAUUGGUGGUGACUGUGAUUCAGUAUUCCAGGGGUACACAUGAACAAGCCUUGCUGUUGUUGUGGUCCUGAGGAAAAUGACCCUCUCUGGGACUUCCUGCCAGGGCUGAGGAGUUAACAACACAUGAGUUCUUCAGAUCUGGCUUGUCGUUGUAGAGGACUAAGGUCCCAGUUUAAGGCAGGUAGGAAAGCUUGGUCUGUGUUGGUACCUACACAGCAUUUUAACAGCAGGUUAUACUCGGAUGCAUGUUCCUGUGUGUGUGUGUGUGUGUGUGUGUGUGUGUGUGUGUGUGUGUGGAAGAUGUAUUGUAGAGAAAACAGAGAUAAAUCACCUGAUUUGACAGUCAGAAGAACAAUGACAUGAAACAUCAAUUAAACUACAGCAGGAUGGAGAGAGAAAGGAGAGCUGCUCUGCUCACACACGCACGCACGCACGCACGCACACACACACACACACACACACACACGCACAAGCACACGCACACGCGCACACGCACACACACACACACUCUUGUCUCUAUCAGAG
rnacentral:lncRNA from 1 species